CUGUUUUCAACCAUCUUGUGUCACCCUCCUGUGGUCUGCUUACACUUCGGCAAUUAUCACUCAAGCAAUUUUGCAGAUUCCAAAGCAUCGAGUUCCUGGAAGAAAAAAAGGAUUAGUGCAGUGGAGAGAGCGCAUCAGCACAGUCGACCAUGGCCCUUCAGCAUCACUACAGCCCGAAGCCUCUACCGGACUUAGACUGCCAGAUCUUCUAGCUGAUUGAUAAGACCUGAGGUCUAAUGAGGCUUCUGCAGCAGCCAUGUGACCUUCCUGCAGCAUCUACAGGUCAGGACGUCGUCGAGAUCACUUUUAGACCAAACAACUACUGUUGCUACCGCUGCUGCUUUGCCACCAACCUGAAUUUAACUGCAGUGUAUGUACGUCCUCAAUCAACUUUUUUUUUUGGAGUAAAGAGAGUUUCGUUAAUCAACGAAACAGGGGAUUACACAUUGUUCUAGCUGUCUAGAGCCGAUGAUACACAAGGGAUGAGAUGAUCCAACCGUCAUUUUGAUCUUGCGCAGCAUGCUGCACACGAGAUGAUAUGGUUUUUGGUCGAUUUGAUCUUGUGUUGCACUGAAGUCAGCCAUGGUGAGUCCGUCAUGAUUUGAUGGCAUGGUCCAGCCUGGCAGUAUCACUUCGAGAUCGAUGAUCGUCAGAAAGUUGCUCUUGACUGCAUUCCGGCAUGAUGUCGGUAUUCCAGGCUGUGUCAGUGAUCAUAGAAUCACACUUGUACUUGUUCUUCACUUCUUCCAAACAACAUCAGCUAGGCGUAGUGCCUGCCUGGAGGCUUCCUACUGAUGGCAUCUCUUCCCUUAGCUCACUAUUGCAGGCUCGUGUGCCCCCUACAAGUAAAUUACAGAAGAAACUCUAGAAAGAAUGUUUAAUCCGAUUGUAAAGAGCGAUCUGAAGCACAAUGUACUGUAGAUAUUGUCGAAUGUGUAUGUUAUUUGGGUCGGGUAAUCAAGCCAAUACGUCCUGCGGUCUCCAUUUUUUU